GUAACUCAAAGCUUACAAAGUCAACCCUUGCCAUAUUUUAUGAGGCCUGUGGGAAAGGAGGGGUGGAAGCAGUAUUGAAUGUAUUUACUUGGCAAGGACCAAGUUCUGAUAUGAACAGGAUGGCGAUUGUGUUACAACAGCUCACCCAGUCUACUCAAGGAGGACCAACUGUCUAAGAAAGACUUUCAAAAAAGAAAUGCUUCUUGCAAGGGUCACUUGAAACAUGAUCCUUACCGGAAAGACCAAGAGCUGCAAUGGAAAAGAACUCCCUAUUGCCACUUUAACUUAUUCAAGGAAGGAGAGAAGAGAGGAAGGCCUUGAUGUUUCCAGGGAAUCAGGAACUUCAUUGUCAGUGUGAAGUAUGUAGUGAAUACUCUUUGACUGCUCUCAGAUUACUUGUAGAGUUGUGACAGAAGAGAAGGAAGGAUGCACCUCUAAUGUGGGGAUGGUACAGAACACAAAGUGCAGGUCUGUAUGGAG
rnacentral:lncRNA from 11 species